UUUCCGGGGGGGGUUUUUGCCAUGUGAAAAGCCAAAGUAACAAUAACCGUUGUUCAUAUGACGACGACGACGACGACCACGCUAGUGUGCGUUGUUGCUUCUACUGGUUGAAACGCUCGUAGUUUGACUUCUGCUCCGGACCGGCGGUCCGCCUUAGCGGCGGCUACUGCCGGGUUCCGAGCUGUGUCCCCGCCGGCGCACAUGGGGUUUUUAUGCCCUUAACCGGGUGUCCCCUUGUGGCCGGCACGUUUACUUUGAAAAAAUUAGAGUGCUCAGAGCAGGCUGGUUUUUGCUUACAGCCCGAAUGGUCGUGCAUGGAAUGAUGGAACAGGACCUCGGUUCUAUUUUGUCGGUUUUUCGGAACCCGAGGUAAUGAUUAAUAGAAGCAGACGGGGGCAUUCGUACUGCGACGCUAGAGGUGAAAUUCUUAGACCGUCGCAUGACGACCUACUGCGAAAGCAUCUGCCAAGGAUGUUUUCAUUGAUCAAGAACGAAAGUUAGAGGUUCGAAGGCGAUCAGAUACCGCCCUAGUUCUAACCUUAAACGAUGCUGACUAGCGAUCCGCCGCAGUUAUUCCCAUGACCCGGCGGGUAGCUUCCGGGAAACCAAAGUCUUUGAGUUCCGGGGGAAGUAUGGUUGCAAAGCUGAAACUUAAAGGAAUUGACGGAAGGGCACCACCAGGAGUGGAGCCUGCGGCUCAAUUUGACUCAACACGGGGAAACUCACCAGGCCAGGACACCGGAAGGAUUGACAGAAUGAAGGCUCUUUCUCGAUUCGGUGGGUGGUGGUGCAUGGCCGUUCUUAGUUGGUGGAGUGAUCUGUCUGGUUAAUUCCGAUAACGAACGAGACUCUAGCCUGCUAAAUAGUCGACGGAUCUCAACCCCGUUGCCCCCGUUGUCGUUCGCGGCGAUGCGGGGCGCGGGUUCCCCGAAACCCGGUCGUCGUGCGGGCCUCCACCGUCGGUCGGUUAGCGCCGCCGGCGGCGCGCCCCGCGGCGCCGGAAACUGGCGUCCGCUUCGCAGUCUUCUUCUUAGAGGGAUAAGCGGCAGCAAAAAAUAUACUAGCCGCACGAGAGUUUGAGCCAUAACAGGUCUGUGAUGCCCUUAGAUGUUCUGGGCCGCACGCGCGCUACAAUGGAGAGUUCAGCGAGCUGGCCCUGCUCCGAGAGGAGCGGGUAACCUCGUGAAAGCUGUCCUUAAAGGGGAUUGGGGCUUGCAAAUGUUCCCCAUGAACGAGGAAUUCCCAGUAGGCGCAAUUCACCAGAUUGCGCCGAUUUAGUCCCUGCCCUUUGUACACACCGCCCGUCGCUACUACCGAUUGAAUGGUCUAGUGAGGGCACCGGACUGGCGCCCUUGGAGCCGCUACCGCCUCGGCGGGCAGCGCCCUCGGGUCGACGGAAAGGUGUCCAAGCUGGGUCAUUUAGAGGAAGUAAAAGUCGUAACAAGGUUUCCGUAGGUGAACCUGCGGAAG
rnacentral:rRNA from 1 species